rnacentral:rRNA from 1 species
GACGAACGCUGGCGGCGUGCUUAACACAUGCAAGUCGAGCGGAGCGGCGAACGGGUGAGUAACGCGUGAGUAACUGCCCCCCUCUCUGGGAUAACAGUUUGACACGGCUGCUAAUACCGGAAAGUGGGGGAUGACUCGCGUCCUAUCAGCUUGUUGGUGGGGUAGUGGCCUACCAAGGCGACGACGGGUAGCCGGCCUGGGAGGGAGACCGGCCACAAGGGGCUGAGAGACGGCCCAAACUCGUACGGGAGGCAGCAGAGGGGAGUAUUGCACAAUGAGGGAAACCCUGAUGAAGAAACGCCGGGUGCGGAAUGACGGCCUGCGGGUUGUAAACCGCGUUCAGCCAUGACGCGGUAGUGGCAGAAGAAGCACCGGCUAACUACGUGCCAGCAGCCGCGGUAAUAC